GUGGAAAUGUCAUCCCUUGGGGUCUCCAGGAAGGAGCAAUCGUAGAUGGGGCAGCUGUGCAGAAAGGACGUCUCCUUGGGCUCCAACAGCGUGUGAGCCGUGCCUCCCUGCGAUGUCCUCACUGUGCAGACCUCUGCCGGGCCCUCAGCUGCCUGAUUUCCAAUCUGUGAUGGGACAGUAGGAGACAUGGAGUUGGUGUCCCACCUGUGACUUAACAGGAGGCUUUGAGGCUGAAGCAAAGCCCAGACUCCAGAUGUCCAUAGUGCCUUGUAACUCAAGGGGCACUGGCCGGUCCCAUCAGAACAGGGAUUCUCUAGUUAAAAGUGACAUUUCAGAAGGGACACCUAGAAAUGUGAGGCUUUUCAAGCCAGCUUGUUAGCUGAGGAGAGGAGUAUGAAACUCCACCCAUGCAGAACAGGAACCAGUAAUUUUGAAACUGCCUCCAUGGUAGAACUGAGAAAGCAGAGACUUGGCUUGGGGGGCCAUGUCCGUGUAUGAGGGGAUCCAGAUGUUUCCCAGGUAUCUGAUAGAAGCCCCAGGAAGGACUCAGGCCAAAGUCCUUCUCUGUGUGAGCUGAAUGGCUGUGUUCUAUGCCUCCUAUACACGAUGGCAGUUAGUCAUGGUUCCCAACCUCUGGCCUGCAGGGCCUGGAUAAGCUCUGCGAGAGGGCAAGCACCUGAGAAAUGGGCAGAGUAGCCAGGCCUGAUGUUUUGGCUGAAUACACCCCAUGGAGGUGCUGAUGUGUAAGAGCUGGGACGGGGCGGAGGGCAGUAAGGUUUGUGCCGCGUGGACACCUGGGCAGGAGAUACAAUAAGGGGAAAUGGCAGAAUCACAUCGAGACAGGAAGUGAAGUAAUGUUGUGCCCAUGGCUCUUUUCUGAUGUUCCCACCAACAUGUGGAGAGCGACCCUGCCCCUCCCAAGGUGGAGGCUGAGCAGAGCAGGACUUGGAGACAGUAAGGGCAGUGUAACACCCAUGAAAGAAGAUUUCCAGAAAUGCCUCAGAAAGUGGUAAGGACAAUAGAAGAAUUAUGUUUGAAGGAAGGG
rnacentral:lncRNA from 1 species